UCCCUCUUCAUGAUGAUGCCAAUCCGGAUGUAAAUGAGCUUUGCUCACUAUCCGAGAGCGCAUAACCUCGUGUGGAGUAUUCCGUUGCCUUCCUUCUGAGCUCGU
rnacentral:snoRNA from 1 species